CGUGUCUUCGGGUGUUUGUUAUUGGGAGGGAGCGCUAUCAGUGGAACACCUGUGGGGUUUCCCCUCGUGCGACAUGUAAUAGCCUCAGUCUACCUGUUAAGAGGCUAAUGAAUGCAUGUACCGAUGCUUCUCCCCGCAAACAGCUCUGUGUAUACCAGAGAGGGAGAAGCUGUCGCCUGUGAUCCACUGAUCAGUUCUCCUGUUGCAGAUACAGAUACAUUUUUAAUAUCAGUCUCAAAACUACAAAAAGAUGCUACUUUGGAGGAACUGAGCCAACAAAAGAAAUACUGCUUGUGAAAAAUGGCUACAAAGCUACAGAAAGAAAAAGAAGAAAAAGAUCUUUAAAAACUAAAUUUAAAAAAUGGUCACAUCACAUGGGUCUCUUUUAUUUCUGUACAGCUGUCCUCAUAGGCUCUCUUUUCCUAGAUGGAGUUAUUAAAGCACAUGGACUUAUAGAUCCUUUGAGAGAAAAGAACUUGGGUGUAAAGCAAUACACAUGGUUAAAAACAAGAAUAAAUGCUGUUAGACUAGACAGAUUUUAUACCGCAAAAACUGAUAGGAACAAAAUUUUAAAGAGUUUUAUAAAACCCAGUGGUUUUUCAGACCACCACAUGGUCACAGUAGAUUUUAUGUUCUCCAGUACCAGGAAGCCUAGAUCUUAUUGGUAUUUUAACAUAAAGCUGCUUCAAGAUCAAGAUUUCUGCUUUAAUUUUACAUUAUUUUGGAAGAAAUGGAAACAGAAGGAAGAGGCUUCCUUAGGCACAUGGUGGGAGGUUGGGAAAACACAAAUAAAAAUGUUUUGCCAGCAAUACACCACACACAUGAAAGCAAUAGUAAAGGGCACCAUUGAGGAGUUAGAGAGGGAGAAAGGAACAGAGGGAAAUGAAAUAAUUAUUAAGAACGACACAGGGAAGAGGAACUAUCUAGAAGUAAAGAAGAAGGCACUGGGUUCACAAGCAGGCUAAAGGGGCCCUCAUCAGAGCCCAAAAUUCUAACAUCAAGGACAUUGAUGUCCCAACCUCCUACUUAUUCAGCAGAUCAGAAUCAGACCUCACAAUCAGAUGCAGUACCUAAAGUACCCUGAUGGAACUACAACCACAACACCAGCAGAAAUGAGAAAUAUUGCAGUGAACUUUUAUAAGGAACUGUACCAUGUGGACGUUACUGACCCACAAUGCAGAAAGGCGCUACUGAAGGAGUUAAUAAAACUGAGUAAACAACAAACAAACAUUGGAAUUCGAUAUUGAACCCCAAGAACUAGCCAUUGCGGUACAGCAGUUAUCCACUGGGUGAGCACCAGGCAUUGACGGAUGUCUGGCAGAAUUUUACAAACACUUUCGGCAAACACUGGGAACAGACCUGUAUGAGGUUUUUAAAUGGUCUAUAAACAAUGGGAAAUUACCCACUAGGUUCACAGGUAGUUUUAUCUCUCCUUCCAAAAAAAGAUGACUUAUGUGUUUCAAAAAACUGGAGGCCUGUGUCACUUCUAUGUACAGACUAUAAAAUUCUAUCAAAAUGUCUGUCAAAUAGACUGAAGGAACACUUAGACACAGUGAUAAAUGCAAGUCAGGCAUACUGUGUGCCUGGACACGCAAUAAUGGACAAUGUUUUUUUUUGCGUGUGACAUGAAUGAACAGUGUAAAAUCAACUCUUGCGAUCUGGGUUUUUUCUCUAUAGACCAAGAAAAAGCCUUUGACAGAGUCGAUCAUACAUACAGUAUCUCUUUGACACUCUAGAUGCUUUUGGGGUGGGUACAAAGUUUUUAUCAUGUAUUAAACUUUUAUAUUCUGAGGCUUGCAUUAUGCUCAAGGUGGGGGGAGGACUUAGCUGUUCUUUCAGAAUGCAGUGGGGGAUAAGACAUUAUCUGGGCAAUUGUACAGUUUAGCCAUUGAACCUCUAUUAGUUCAAUUAAGAAGAAACAUGCAGGGCUUAUCAGUGUGUGGGCUACAGGAGAAAGUGGUACUGUCAGCUUAUGCAGACAACAUAAUGGUCUUCAUUACAAAGCAGCAACAUGUUCAAGCUCUUACUCACAGUCUAGCUGUGUAGCAAAGGGCAUCCUCUGCGUGAAUGAACUGGAGUAAGUGUGAAAGUUUUAUUGCAGGACAGUGGCAAGAGAAAGAACUACCCAAGCUACCAGAAAACGUACGGUGAGGAAAAAAAGGCAUCAAAUACUUGGGCGUCUUCUUAGGAGAAGAAGAGUACUUGCAAAAUAUCUGGGAGGGAAUGGUGGAGAAGGUAGGUGCCAAGUUGUCUAAGUGGACUUGGGUCCUGCCCCAGCUGUCCUAAAGGAGGAGGGUGCUGGUCACUAACAGACUAAUCGCCUCCAUGCUGUGGCACAAGUUCAUAGCCCUUGAGCCACCAGAGACACUAAUCAGAGAGAUCCAGAGGAGGAUAGUGGACUUUUUCUGGACUGGACAACACUGGACACAAGCCCUGUACUAUACCUUCCGGUACAGGAGGGAGGUCAGGGCCUGAUUGACCUGUCCUGUCGAAUAAGGGCUUUUCGCCUGCAGACAGCACAGAGACUGCUCUACAGCACAGGACUGACAGAACUGACCACUAUAGACUGUCUACUCAAGAUUCAAGAUCUUUAUUGUCAUAUGUACUUUGGUACAAUUAAAUUCUUAUUUCGUUUUUUCCUCACGAGAAAGAUGGGGUAGUAGGGCAACAAACAUGCUACUGUAUUAAUAUAAAUUACAAAGACAAUAAAUAUACAAAAAACACACAAUAAGGAACAAGGAAGAAUAAUAAAAAUAUACAAAGUCAGUUUACAGUCUGAAUAAGAGAACCUGUAUGCAAU